rnacentral:pre_miRNA from 1 species
ACAUCACUACCAGGUUUCACAGCGUUUCAAUGGAAACGCUGGGAACUUGUAGAUUGAUGACA